rnacentral:ncRNA from 1 species
GCUUGAUAAUGGCAAAUUUAACGAAAUUUGAUGACGCAAAGCUAUGGGACUAAGGUGAAUUUUACUAUUGAUAGCCAGUUACCAAA